AUGCAACAACUUGUACAGUUUUUGUGUCGUGCAAAAAAGAUUGAGAUAAGAAUAGAUUUCCGACGACGAGUUCUCAACACUGGCGCCAUUCAACCUACUCCGAACACCGCCUCGCCGGAAUCCAUGCGACUCCAUCAUUGUCAGAAGCACUCAUAUCCACCACCAACAAAAAAGCGAUGCAGAUCCAGCCAUCCCCGCUCAUCACAUUGUACACUACAUCGAACUACCAACCCGGUGACAGCAACACAACCUUCCCUCUGGCAGAUCCACCGCGACGCUGCAGCAGACAACGCCCAUCCGCCCCCGCGAUCAACGCUCUCCCCUCCGGUGAAGAAACCACACGCCCAGCUUCCACUGGAAUCGUGA